rnacentral:rRNA from 1 species
UUGUAAUUUGUAGAAUUUGCCUUUGAUUAGGUCCUUGUCUAUGUUCCUUGGAACAGGACGUCAUAGAGGGUGAGAAUCCCGUUUGGCGAGGAUACCUUUUCUCUGUAAUACUUUUUCGAAAAGUCGAGUUGUUUGGGAAUGCAGCUCAAAGUGGGUGGUAAAUUCCAUCUAAAGCUAAAUAUUGGCGAGAGACCGAUAGCGAACAAGUACAGUGAUGGAAAGAUGAAAAGAACUUUGAAAAGAGAGUGAAAAAGUACGUGAAAUUGUUGAAAGGGAAGGGCAUUUGAUCAGACAUGGUGUUUUUUUAAUGCGCAAGUCUCUCGUGCACAUGUGCCUCUGGAAAUUAACACUGGGCCAACAUCAGUUCUGGCGGCAGGAUAAGUCAUUACUAAUGUAGCUACCUCGGUAGGGUUAUAGCUUUUUGGAAUACUGCCAGCUGGGAUUGAGGACUGCGCUUCCGCAAGGAUGUUGGCAUAAUGGUUAAAUGCCGCCCGUCUUGAAACCACGAACCAAUCCCGAC